rnacentral:tRNA from 1 species
GUAGUGGUAGUUCAGUGGUAAAAUUCUUGCCUUUUGUGCAGGAAGCCUGGGUUUGGUUCUCAGCCAAUGCC